AAGUUAGAAAUAAAUCUUUAUAUUCAGUUUCGACCUGAAAUUUUAGUUAUUUUUAAAUAACUCUAACUUA
rnacentral:tRNA from 1 species